AGGCGUCUAUACCUUAUAUUGCCGAGAUCCGGGUGUUCCCUCUCCCCAUGAUCUAAAGCUUGCUGGAAACUUGUCACCCUAGUUAACAGGAGUUUUCGGCUCAGCGCGUGUGCUCUGCCGAGAGAGGAAAAGAGGAGGGAUUUGACUGCACGUAGGGCUGCACUGCUCUCCAGAACAGAGCACGGGCAUGGCGAGGUUGUGCUCUGCCGACCUGCUCUCUAGAUGUACAAGAAUGAAAUGUUGAGUGAAGCAGGUAGAUACAGGCAAAAGAGAGACAAAUAAUACAGGACACCAGAUCUGCCUUUUGUGCCGAGACAACAUUCCCCCUAUAUAUGACUGAUUAAGACAGCGCUGCCACAGUCUUCCCCUUCCCCCUUGUACGAACAUUUCCAAGUUCCAGUGACAAGUUUGUUCGGGAGCUAAACCAGCAGAAAAUUAACAUCGCAAAAGUAAACAAAUGGAGGAAGUGAGAAUGCGAGUCUAGGACUGAUAGAGUGGGACUGCCACAGAGCUGAUUUCAAUCAGCUGAACCUGCUGUGGAAUUGAACACUUGGAAUCGCUUCCCUCUGUUAGAUACGUUUAAAAUUGGAUUCAAAUUCACACACAGAGGCAUGAGCUCCCCCAAGCACCGUCUGGCAGUAGUCUGUCCUCUGGUUGCAACAUAAAGGUGUUUGUGUCAGUUCAGGGUAGUAUAUCAGUAACUUCGCUUCAAAGACAGCCACAGAACCAGCCUGUAUCAAGAAUCCCACAGUUACAUGGGAGCUUACAGGAUUGCUGCUGGCAGGGAACUGAGGCAAAAACCAGGCAGCUCAGCUUAAAUGCCAGAUCCAUAAAGGGGGCACCAUCAAAGCUGUAGUUAAAACCCAACAGUUACCCUUCAGCCCUGAACUGAGACCUGAAGACUAACUUCCUUUUGUACCACACUUGAAAUCCCAAAGCCUUUUCAGAAAUAUGGAUACACCCUGAUAAUUUAAAAAAAUAAAUUUUGAAGCCAGGCAAGAGAAUACGCAAAACCACGCCUUGUUUGGCAAGUUAUUUUGCCAAAUACAUCCAUUCAACCCCAUGGAAAAUGGACGAGUAAGGUAAUUGCAGUGGUUGACCUAAGGCCUGGUCCAUACAUACCUGGUGUAUUGCACUCUACUCAGCCUUAGUGAGGCUGCAUCCGGAGUACCGUGUCCAGUUUUGCACUCCUCAGUACAAGAGACACAUGGAGCUUCUGGAGCGGGUCCACGGGGAACUACAAAGAUGAUUAAGGGACUGGAGCAUUUCUCUGCAGGAGCUUCAGCCUUGAGAAGAGAUGACCGAGAGGGGACCUCAUCAAUGUCUAUAAGUAUCUGAAGGGAGAGUGUCAUGAGUAUGGAGCCAGACUCUUUUCAGUGUGCCAAGUAAUAAGACAAGAGAAAACAGAAAAUGAUCCACAGAAACUUCCACCUGAAUAUGAGGAAGAACUUCUUUACUGUGCAGGUGACCACGCACUGUAACAGAUUGCCCAGAGAAGUUGUGGAGUCUUCCUCACUGGAGAUAUUCAAGAACCAUCCUGAUGGAAUUCUGUGCAACGUGCUUGAGGACGACUCUACUUGAAUAGGGAGGUUGGACCGGGUGACCCACUGUGGUCCCUUCCAACCUUACCCAUUCUGGAGUCUGUGACACUAAGAGCCCCUUCUCUAGCUGUAUAAAGGUAUUUAAAGAAGAGUAAAAUAACCAGGACUUCCAUUAUAGGUGCUUUAAAGCCACUUGAAAAUGAGGAAAGACAAUCUAUACACAGGUUAACUCAGUUCAAAAAUUCUUUCAAUUAAACCUUUGUAUAUUUACUGCCAAGGGAUCUCACCAAAACUUUCAGAACUGUGUUCUUACCUUUUGCUAUUAUCCUACUCUGCAGUAAUAUGGAAUCCUAAAGAGGUAUCCUGAAAGGAUAUUCUGGGAUUACAAUACUUACAAUUUUCUGAAUUUUCCCAAAUUUUGAGAUUCCUUUGUCUGAAACUAUUGCUGGAUAUUUCAGAGGGAGUUCCAAAACAAAAGGAGGAGGAUGUCCGUGAACAACACCAGAAUGGGAUAUAAAGCUACAACUGCAAACCAGAAUUUGGUACUUGAGAAAGGAAUGAGUGAAAUGUAAAUCAUUUUAUUUGCAUUUCUAAGCACUCAGAGCAAAGUGUUCAGGGAGUUUUCAGGGAAAGGAUCCAUCCUGCCUUGUAAUCAGGUUAAAGUCAGAUGGCUCUUUUCCAGUGUGGACAAAAAAGGGGAUUUCUUACACCUCCAAAGGGUUUCCUGUGUUCUGUGGGAAGAAGCCUGGCACCAGGCCCCAGCCUCAAAGACCAACUCUGUUGAACAAUCAGUUUUAUAGUGAUCACGUAAGAACUGUAUUUUGCUCCCCUUCAGACACACAGCAGAACAAGCAGUACCACUGCUGUAGGGCAUAGCCUGAUGAUUUCUUCUUUGUCAGCAGUACCAGUAUCAAUAGUUCUUACUCUGCUGUGCAUCUCUGUUCCUGAGCUAUUCCCUGCACUGUGCCAGCACAGCUAUUUGUGCAGCUAUGUAAGGGAAGGGAUCAAGGAACUGGUUCACCCAAGAUUUUUUCUGGAUGUUUUUCAGCCAGAUCAAAUCCCCAGAUAUCUUGGCUGACACAAUGCAAGGGGAACACAAGAACAUGUGUAAUCACAGAUGCUAAAACUUAGCUGAGGGACAGUAACUUGUUAGGAUGUACCAGCUUAGUCACCUGCAAUAACCCGUCCACUCCUUUAAUCUGCUCUAGCAAAUAGAGACAAAUUGGCUGCAGCCUAUAAGGAAGAAACCAGAAUUCAUUAAUGACUUGAAAACUAAUUACAAAUCUCUAGGUCUUAGUAGUUGGGAAAAGAAAAAGACAAAAAGAAAAAAGAGGUCCUACAGUUAUACAAUACACAGUUUCAAAGUUCCUCAGCCAAAGAUCUCACUGCAAAGAUGCAGAAAACAGCAAGCACCAGCAAGCAAAAUUGAAGGUGAUGGUGGGUCAGCAUACCACUGCCUGGGGGUUUCUCACUCAGUAAAUCAGAAGUCAAUCCAGCAGAGUAAUGUUGUUAUAGUGGUGUGAUGUGAUGAAGAAGACAGACUAUGAUUCAUCACUGCCCUACAUAUCAUGUAAGCUUGUACAGCUCUGCAAAAUGUAUGUAAAACACUUUCAAAUCACAACUAUCUCCUUUUCAUUUUGUCCAGAUAAUACAGCGGACUAAAGCAGUGAGGAAUGUGUUUCUGGACACAAAUCUGUGAUGCACCAAUGUUUUUCCUGAACAAACACACAAAAGCACGUCAGCAGUGAUUUUUCAUUUCCUCGAUCUGUGAUGAGAUAAAUCCUCCUCUGUGAGCCUGUGGAGUAACACACUGGAAAUGGAUUUACUCGUAACUUGAGUUCAACAGCUCCUGCUAAACCAGUAAGAAAACCAGAAUAAUGCUUCUGAAAGUGAAAUUAAUCCAAAUUAUUCAGAACUAAUUUUAUUUUUUAAAAUUUCCUUUUACCUAUAUGUGGGGAGAAAUAAAAAAGAAAGCUAUAACAUCAAGGGGAGACGACUCUGGAAAAACAAGGCUGCAGCAACCUUACCUUUCAUUAGGGACUCCCCAGGUUUAAUGGGCUAUCUUGUAAAGAAAAUAAUAAUAAAAAUAAUUUCAAAAUCAA